GUGAAUCAUCAAAUUUUUGAACGCAAAUUGCACUCUCUGCGAAGAGUAGGACUAUUUGAGGGUCAGCCCAAAAAAAAUCGACAUAGUUUCUGUGACGGGGUAACAUGGGUCGGAAAUGGGGUCAACGUAAACCUGUGGGUUUAGGCGGCUUAAAAUUUUCGUUACGAUUCCAAGAACGUUUCGAAGAUAUUAGUGUCUGAUACUAUUAAUGUAUCGAUCUUUAUUAGACGGUGCCGGUGCAUCGUACUUCGUCCAUAAAUGGUUCUUUA
rnacentral:misc_RNA from 1 species